rnacentral:lncRNA from 1 species
UUUGCUAUUUUCGAGAUUUUCAUUACACACCUGACCAUUGUUCGAUGCCAGCACCACAAUAGCAAUUUCAGUACCUAAAAUAACACACCAAAUAACAGAUUAGAAACAUAAAUAAGAAUUGAUUAAAAAUAAUCAACCCUUGCUUCCUAGAAAAUAAGCCAAAACAAUAAGAUAUUCGCCCCCAAACAGUAAAAACAUCCCCUAAAGUCAUUUAAUCGCUUACCCUUAAAGAAUCCACAAUUACUAACAGGAACUAGGUUGUUACAGGAAUGAUCAUCUCAAAAGUUUCACCUAAAACAAAUUGUACAACAACUCAUUACAAACUCCAAACCAAUUCAAACGAAAAACCAAUAUUCUCAAGAAAUGAGCACAAACAACAAGAUUAAAGGAAGAAAGGACGAUUAGCAACUUAACUUUCCCUUUACCACAAUUGGCUAAAUAAUGAAAUAUGGAAAGAGCAAAGAAGUAUAGAAAUCAGCAAGAGGAUGGUGAGGAAUAAAAUUUUGAAGGAAAAAUUCCAAGAAGAAGAAAGAUGAAAGCGAGAGAGAGAGAAGAAAUUAUUUUUGUAUAUUUCCAUAACUGUCUUUCCUCCCACGGGUUGUCCAAUAAAAAGAGAAAUAACGACACCAGUAAUAACAUCCUAGUAAGAGCCAAAUGCACCGUAUUACUAACUAUCUAAAACGCUCCGUUUAAGUACUAGUAUACCCCCUUACGCGCACCAUUUUCAUUAAUCCUUACCCAAAACAUACCGUUUCAUUACAAUAACUAAAUUUAACAAAAUUACAAUUAGCAAACCGUUAUUUGAAUGUUGAGAAAAAUUAUCUCAUAUCAAGUACUCCCCUCUCGAAUAUGAUCUUUGUCCUCAAGGAUCGAAUAGUGGAUACUGCUGCUGAAACUCAGAAAACCUCUCCCACGUCGAGUCUUCCAGGAAAGUAUUUUCCCAUUCAACUAACACAUUUGUGUCUACUUGAUUACCUCAUUUAACCAUUCUUCUGUCAACAAUUCGAACUGGUGUUUUGGUAAUAGCUCAAUCCGAGUCGAUAGGAGGGAGUGUAGCAGAACUGGGAAGUGAGCCAAUAUAUUUUUUAAGUUGUGAAACAUGGAAAGUGGGAUGUAUACGAGCAUCAGUUGGUAGGGUGAGAGUAUAAGCAACUUGACCUCUUUUGGCUACCAUAGGGUACGGGCUAAAAUAAUGAGAAGCAAGCUUCUGGUUACCUUAUUUCCUAAUGAAAUGUUGUCUGUAUGGUUGAAGAUUAAGGUAGACCAAGUCCCCUACCUGAAAUUCCCUCUCUGAUCUCUUUUUAUCAGCCAUGUGUUUCAUUCUAUCUUAAUCCCUUUUGAAAUAAAACUUCAGCAUAUGUCAAGCUACUUCUCUCUACUAGAGGCUCCUGUCUACUACAGUAAUUGGGAGGCCCCUGCCAAAUAAGGUAAAUGGUGUGGAGGUUCUUGACCAUAUAGAGCCUCAUAAGGAGUAGUUCGUAUGGUUGAGUGAUAAGUGGUAUUAUACCACCACUCAACCAAGGAAAGCCAUAGUGCGCAUUCAGAAAGUCUCUCCCUAGACAUGCAUCUCAAAUACCCUUAAAAGUAUCUAUUGAGCAUUUUAGUCUGACCAUCAAUUUGGGGGUGGUAAGUAGUGGAGAAGUGAAGCUUAACCCCCAAAUAUUUAAAUAGAUAUUGCCAAAAUGAAUUGAUAAACACCUUGUCUCGAUCAGAAAUGAUGUAUUCUGAAACUCCAUGUAACUUAUAGAUGUGCUCUAAAUACUGCUAAGCCACAAUGAGUACAGUAAAAGGAUGAGAUAAGCCAAGAAAUAACCAUUUAUAAUAAGCCUAUCAACUACCACAAAAAUAGUAUCCUUCCCUUUCGAUGAUGGCAAACUUUCUACAAAAUCUAAGCUUACACCUACCCAAGUACGAUCAGGCACUGGUAAGGGUUGAAGUAGACUUGGGUAUGCUAAACUGUCAUAUUUACAUAUUUGACAAAUAGCACAUUCUUUGACCCAUCGCUUCACAUAUUUGGAAAGACCCUUCAAAUAAACAAGUUCUAAGAUUCUUUGUCUGGUUGUAUGCACUCCUGAAUAUCCCCCAACAUCCUCACUGUGAAACAAGCCAAAAAGUUUCUUCCUCAAUUUUGGAUCCUGACCAACUACCACAUUUCAUUUCUUUCUUAACACCCUGCUAUGCCAUGAGUAUUUCGAAUGUAGAUGAGGGUACUUUUGUAGGUCCGAGCAAAUCUACUGUAAAACAGGAUUAGUAACACAAUAAUUCAAGAUUUGUUCCCAUACCUCAGACCAGGAAAUACUUUCCUUGCAUUGGAACAGUUGCCCUUCUUGUAUAUGAUCCCUUUGAGACAAUACACCAGCUACUAUUUUUUGGCUUUCUUUUCUGUAAAUGAUAGAAUAAUCAUACCCCAAGCAU